UGCUAAUACAUGCAAGUCGAGCGGACUUGCUGGAGCUUGCUCCAGCAGAGUUAGCGGCGGACGGGUGAGUAACACGUGGGCAACCUGCCUGUAAGACUGGGAUAACUCCGGGAAACCGGAGCUAAUACCGGAUAGUAUCUUGAACCGCAUGGUUCAAGUUGGAAAGACGGUUUCGGCUGUCACUUACAGAUGGGCCCGCGGCGCAUUAGCUAGUUGGUGAGGUAAUGGCUCACCAAGGCAACGAUGCGUAGCCGACCUGAGAGGGUGAUCGGCCACACUGGGACUGAGACACGGCCCAGACUCCUACGGGAGGCAGCAGUAGGGAAUCUUCCGCAAUGGACGAAAGUCUGACGGAGCAACGCCGCGUGAGUGAUGAAGGUUUUCGGAUCGUAAAACUCUGUUGUUAGGGAAGAACAAGUGCGAGAGUAACUGCUCGCACCUUGACGGUACCUAACCAGAAAGCCACGGCUAACUACGUGCCAGCAGCCGCGGUAAUACGUAGGUGGCAAGCGUUGUCCGGAAUUAUUGGGCGUAAAGCGCGCGCAGGCGGUUUCUUAAGUCUGAUGUGAAAGCCCCCGGCUCAACCGGGGAGGGUCAUUGGAAACUGGGAAACUUGAGUGCAGAAGAGGAGAGUGGAAUUCCACGUGUAGCGGUGAAAUGCGUAGAGAUGUGGAGGAACACCAGUGGCGAAGGCGACUCUCUGGUCUGUAACUGACGCUGAGGCGCGAAGGCGUGGGGAGCAAACAGGAUUAGAUACCCUGGUAGUCCACGCAGUAAACGAUGAGUGCUAAGUGUUAGAGGGUUUCCGCCCUUUAGUGCUGCAGCUAACGCAUUAAGCACUCCGCCUGGGGAGUACAGUCUCAAGACUGAAACUCAAACGUACUCGACGGGGGCCCGGACAUGUCGGUGGAACAUGUGGGAUUAACUUUCGAGCGAAGCGUAUAAGACCUAUCCGUGCUGAGAUCGUUUGUCGACUACUAUUAAUAACAAAGAUGUCUUCAUGGGACUAAACUGACGGACUGUGGGAUUGAUGGCC
rnacentral:rRNA from 1 species